rnacentral:sRNA from 1 species
CAAGAACUGCUGGCCUAUUCCAAAUCUGUUUAAAAAACGUACAGAAGCAACUGGACGCCCGGCGAUCCUGACCAAUACUUACUUCGUUGGCGCGACAUCUCCCCCAAGUGGAGCGCCGAUAAAGGUGCCGAUGGAUAGCGCACCUUUGUUUUACUCCUAAUGGUCUUAACCCGGAUUCACCCCCCAGAACCCGG